UACGAAGGUGACUAGCGUUGUUCGGAAUCAUUGGGCGUAAAGCGCACGUAGGCGGGUUUGAAAGUCGAUUGUGAAAACCCUGGGCUCAACCCGGGACCUGCAGUCGAAACUUCAAGUCUUGAAUGCUCGAGAGGAUGGUGGAAUUCCAGGAGUAGAAGUGAAAUUCGUAGAUAUCUGGAGGAACACCGGAGGCGAAAGCGGCCAUCUGGCGAGACAUUGACGCUAAGGUGCGAAAGCGUGGGGAUCAAACAGG
rnacentral:rRNA from 1 species